rnacentral:rRNA from 1 species
CUGCCUGGUAGUGGGGGACGAACGUUUCGAAAGGAACGCUAAUAACCGCAUACGUCCUACGGGAGAAAGCAGGGACCUUCGGGCCUUGCGCUAUCAGAUGAGCCUAGGUCGGAUUAGCUAGUUGGUGAGGUAAUGGCUCACCAAGGCGACGAUCCGUAACUGGUCUGAGAGGAUGAUCAGUCACACUGGAACUGAGACACGGUCCAGACUCCUACGGGAGGCAGCAGAC